UACGGGGGGGGCAAGCGUUGUUCGGAAUUACUGGGCGUAAAGGGCGCGUAGGCGGCCUGCUAAGUCGGACGUGAAAUCCCCCGGCUCAACCGGGGAACUGCGUCCGAUACUGGUGGGCUCGAAUCCGGGAGAGGGGAUGUGGAAUUCCAGGUGUAGCGGUGAAAUGCGUAGAUAUCGGAAGGAACGCCGGUGGCGAAAGCGACGUGCUGGACCCUUUCUGACGCUGAGGCGCGAAAGCCAGGGGAGCAAACGGG
rnacentral:rRNA from 1 species